rnacentral:rRNA from 1 species
GACGAACGCUGGCGGCGCGCUUAACACAUGCAAGUCGAGCGAGAACCUGGGCUUCGGCCCUGGGGACAGCGGCGAACGGGUGAGUAACACGUGGGUAAUCUGCCCUUGACAUCGGGAUAGCCCGGGGAAACCCGGAUUAAUACCGAAUAGCCUCCGGAGCCUUCGGGCGCCGGAGAAAAGGUAGCUUCGGCCUCUGGUCAAGGAUGAGCCCGCGGCGGAUUAGCUUGUUGGCGGGGUAACGGCCCACCAAGGCGACGAUCCGUAGCUGGUCUGAGAGGACGAGCAGCCACACUGGGACGGAGAGACGGCCCAGACUGCUACGGGGGGCAGCAGUGGGGAAUCUUGCGGAAAUGCGGGAAACCGUGACGCAGCGACGCCGCGUGGGGGAAGAAGGCCUUCGGGUUGUAAACCUCUUUCAGGAGGGACGAAGCCACUCGGGUUAAUAGCCCAGAGGGUGACGGUACCUCCAGAAGAAGCCCCGGCUAACUACGUGCCAGCCGCCGCAGUAACAC